rnacentral:rRNA from 1 species
GACGAACGCUGGCGGCGUGCUUAACACAUGCAAGUCGAGCGGUAAGGCCCUUUCGGGGUACGACGAGCGGCGAACGGGUGAGUAACACGUGGGUGACCUGCCCUCAGCUCUGGGAUAAGCCUGGGAAACUGGGUCUAAUACUGGAUAUGACUCCACGGUGCAUGUCGUGGGGUGGAAAGCCUUGUGCGGCUGAGGAUGGGCCCGCGGCCUAUCAGCUUGUUGGUGGGGGA